rnacentral:rRNA from 1 species
AGGGUUUGAUUCUGGCUCAGGAUGAACGCUGGCGGCGUGCUUAACACAUGCAAGUCGAACGAACCUUCGGGUUAGUGGCGGACGGGUGAGUAACGCGUGAGAAUCUGCCCUCAGGAGGGGGAUAACGGUUGGAAACGACCGCUAAUACCCCAUAUGCCUACUGGUGAAACGAAUUUCGCCUGAGGAUGAGCUCGCGUCUGAUUAGCUAGUUGGUGAGGUAAUGGCUCACCAAGGCUUCGAUCAGUAGCUGGUCUGAGAGGAUGAUCAGCCACACUGGGAAUGAGACACGCCCCAGACUCUUACGGGAGGCAGCAGUGGGGAAUUUUCCGCAAUGGGCGAAAGCCUGACGGAGCAACGCCGCGUGAGGGACGAAGGCCUCUGGGCUGUAAACCUCUCUUCUCAAGGAAGAAGAUAUGACGGUACUUGAGGAAUAAGCCACGGCUAAUUCCG